CAUCAAACAAAAUUGUGGCUAUUAUGUAGAUUAUUGGAAGAUUAUUGAUAAUCGAUGGGCUUUCCAACUACACACGGACUUGCAUGCUGCUGGUUAUUUUUUAAAUCUCAUAUUCCAAUAUGGGGAGCACCUUUCUAAUCAUCGAGAAGUGAUGAGUGGAGUUAGAAAUGUGAUUUCGAGACUUCUACCAGAUUUAAACGAGCAAAUACAGGCGAUAAACCAAAUCUCUUUAUUUUGUAAUAAAGAAGAUUCUUUUGGUGCUGUGUUAGCACAAAGAGCAGUGAAAGCAACAAAUCCUGAUAAUUAUUAUAU